CUAGCUUGCUAGAGAAGAUUAGUGGCGGACGGGUGAGUAACAUUUAGGAAUCUGCCUAGUAGUGGGGGAUAGCUCGGGGAAACUCGAAUUAAUACCGCAUACGACCUACGGGUGAAAGGGGGCGCAAGCUCUUGCUAUUAGAUGAGCCUAAAUCAGAUUAGCUAGUUGGUGGGGUAAAGGCCCACCAAGGCGACGAUCUGUAACUGGUCUGAGAGGAUGAUCAGUCACACCGGAACUGAGACACGGUCCGGACUCCUACGGGAGGCAGCAGUGGGGAAUAUUGGACAAUGGGGGCAACCCUGAUCCAGCCAUGCCGCGUGUGUGAAGAAGGCCUUUUGGUUGUAAAGCACUUUAAGCAGGGAGGAGAGGCUAAUGGUUAAUACCCAUUAGAUUAGACGUUACCUGCAGAAUAAGCACCGGCUAACUCUGUGCCAGCAGCCGCGGUAAUACAGAGGGUGCGAGCGUUAAUCGGAAUUACUGGGCGUAAAGCGAGUGUAGGUGGCUCAUUAAGUCACAUGUGAAAUCCCCGGGCUUAACCUGGGAACUGCAUGUGAUACUGGUGGUGCUAGAAUAUGUGAGAGGGAAGUAGAAUUCCAGGUGUAGCGGUGAAAUGCGUAGAGAUCUGGAGGAAUACCGAUGGCGAAGGCAGC
rnacentral:rRNA from 1 species